rfam:Oceanobacillus picturae, S1, WGS project CCAX01000000 data, contig: 000001
UAGUGCGGAACGUCGAUUAAGUUCGCCACGUCCUGUGGCAACAUCGACAUGACCUACAUCCUGUAGG